rnacentral:lncRNA from 10 species
GAGAAGCAGCAGCAGCUGUUUCCUUCACCAAUAAAUAUACUUCAUUACCAAGCUAGAAGAGAGGGGUGGGAAGAGGGACUGGGGUGGGAAGGAAGGGGGAGAAGCUGCCACCUGUGUUGCUGGGAUUAAAGCAAUGAGAUGGUGCCAGACCCCCCACCACUAUCCUCACCCUCCACUUGUCUUCUUAAAACUGUGAAAAAGCUUUUAACAUGGCCCUCCUGUCUCCAGGGCUGCUCUGAAGCCUGACUGAGAGGAGGCACCUGGCAGAGACAGGGGCUGAGGGAGGGAGCGAGGGAUAGCCAGGAGAGGAGCGAGGGUGCUCCACAGCGACCUCAGCAGGUGGCCUGGUCUUGCCCACUCCAGGGCUCCCAUCCUUCCUUUGGGCUCCGCUCUAACACUGGUGGCUCUGGAGGGAGGGUGGGACCCAUCCUUUUUCAAAACCUUUCCUGAAGACCACAGGGGAGCUAGCCUUGCAGGCUAGGGAGCAAGAGUGGCAACAGGCCAAGGCGAGCCCUUACCAAUUGGGAAUCCCACU